ACUCCCGUCUUCUAAUGGUAGGAAACUGGUCUUAUAAACCAGAAGUGCCAGAUUAGCGCGUAAUCUCAGUUCGAAUCUGAGCGGGAGUA
rnacentral:tRNA from 1 species